rnacentral:rRNA from 1 species
GUGAAAUGCGUAGAUAUCCGGAGGAACACCAAAGGCGAAGGCACUGUCCUGGCUCUGACCUGACGCUGAGGGGCGAAAGCUAGGGGAGCGAACGGGAUUAGAUACCCCGGUAGUCCUAGCCGUAAACGAUGACCACUAGAUGUUCGGGGUAUCGACCCCCUGAGUAUCGAAGCCAACGCGAUAAGUGGUCCGCCUGGGGAGUACGGUCGCAAGAUUAAAACUCAAAGGAAUUGACGGGGACCCGCAUAAGCAGCGGAGCGUGUGGUUUAAUUCGAUGCAACGCGAAGAACCUUACCAGGAUUUGACAUGACCCUGACGAUGCUAGAGAUAGCACUUCCUUCGGGACAGGGUCACAGGUGCUGCAUGGCUGUCGUCAGCUCGUGCCGUGAGGUGUUGGGUUAAGUCCCGCAACGAGCGCAACCCUCGUGGGUAGUUGUAAUUUUCUACUCAGACUGCCGCGAUCAACGUGGAGGAAGGUGGGGAUGACGUCAAGUCAGCACGGCCCUUACAUCCUGGGCGACACACACGCUACAAUGGCACGGACUAUGAGUUGCGAACCCGCGAGGGGGAGCCAAUCUCCUCAAACCGUGUCUCAGUUCAGAUUGGAGGCUGCAACCCGCCUCUAUGAAGUUGGAGUUGCUAGUAACCGUAGGUCAGCACACUACGGUGAAUACGUUCCCGGGUCUUGUACACACCGCUCGUCACACCACGAAAGUCGGCAACCCCUGAAGCCGCUGGGCUAACCCGCAAGGGAGGCAAGCGUCGAGGGUGGGGUCGGUGAUGGGGGUGAAGUCGUAACAAGGUAACCGU